rnacentral:lncRNA from 1 species
CUCGUUUGUUUCCUCAUUCGCUGAAGAACUGCUGUGGGCCAGCCAGUGGGUGCAGAAGGUCUUAUACCCCUGCAGGUGGAGCAGGAAGGAGAACUCGUGAAUGAGUGAGGCUCGCAGUCCUGGAAUACGUGCACUCCAGAGGCAUUUAAUGAAAGUUAUGAUGAAUGUUUUUGAUGAGAAAAGAAUGAAAUGAGAGACCAUCCUGAACCUGGAGACUGAAACAAAGAAGCUCCUGCAGAGGAGAAAUUUGGCCAUGCUUCCUCAGCACCUGCCUGGAAGAUCAGAGUCCUCUUGGGCCUCU